rnacentral:Y_RNA from 1 species
GGCUGGUCUGAAGAUAGUGAAUUAUCUUAAUUGAUUGUUCACAGUUCAUUUCUUACUCUUUGUUCUACUCUUUCCCUCCUUCUCACUACUGCACCUGACAAAUUAAAA